rnacentral:rRNA from 1 species
AGCAAUCUGCCUUUUGGAGUGGGGAGUAACAGCCGGAAACGACUGCUAAUACCGCAUGAUGCAGCGGGGUCGCAUGAUUUUGCUGCCAAAGAUUUAUCGUCCAAAGAUGAGCUCGCGUCUGAUUAGCCAGUUGGCGGGGUAACGGCCCACCAAAGCGACGAUCAGUAGCCGGACUGAGAGGUUGAACGGCCACAUUGGGACUGAGACACGGCCCAGACUCCUACGGAAGGCAGCAG